rnacentral:rRNA from 1 species
AAAUUGAAGAGUUUGAUCAUGGCUCAGAUUGAACGCUGGCGGCAGGCCUAACACAUGCAAGUCGAGCGGAAACGACAUUAACAAUCCUUCGGGUGCGUUAAUGGGCGUCGAGCGGCGGACGGGUGAGUAAUGCCUAGGAAAUUGCCUUGAUGUGGGGGAUAACCAUUGGAAACGAUGGCUAAUACCGCAUAAUGCCUACGGGCCA